AGGCAACAGGGGUUUAGCACUAGGACCCAGGUAAAGGGGCAGAGUCUAUAAAUAGGGAAGGGAAGAUCACCUGGUCCUUUCUUUCUGCAGUCACACACCUGAGGGAGCAGCUGAGGCCAGCCUUUGUUUGGUUCUUGAUUGGACUUCGUGGUGGUGAGGGUCCAAAGCUUGGAGUGAUUGUCCAAACACAUCAGCUAAAGCACAGAUCCCAGUCACCUGCAUGCCUUCAACGGCGGGAGGGGAAUGUGUUUCUAAGUCAAACAAGGCUGUCGGGCAACACCCUGUUGCCGCUACCAAGCCUGCCUGUCUGUUUGCUGGUUCCAAGCCCAGCUGUCUAGUUCCAUUUCUCAAAAUAUUAGCCCAGGAUGAACGGUGCAGUCAGCAAAGGUUACAAGGAAGAUGUAGGAAGCAGAACAUCGGUGUACGUUCACACGGCUCACACUGUCACUGCAUCGGUUAUAUUGCUGAAGAAGUACGGAUACACAUCUGUCCCUCAUGAUGAGGGUAUAAAAUAUGUGCUGAUUCCUGAGGGGAUUAGGGAUUUCAACUGGCUCGAGGGUCUUUUGAAAGGAGAAAAGAUCUCUACCGGUCAAUACAUCAACCGACGGUUAACGCAUAUGGAUUCAUGACUAAGGACUACAAGAAAUAUUCCAACUACUAUGUUGAGAAGAAUGUUAAAACUGAUGUCAUUUUCUACACCAACCACGACAUGAAUUUGUGGAAAAAACUGCAUGACAGCAUGACAAAAUAAUGAGGCUAUAUCAAAGAACAGACUCAGAAACUGUGUUGGACCGUGACUUUAAAUGAACCUUUUUAAACUAUGUGUAGUUCUUCGUCCUGCGUGUUCUUUCAUGAAGCAAUAGGAGAAGAUGUUUUUGGUCCAAGUUAAUCAGUUUUAUUACAAGUAAAUGAAUAAAGCUUACAGAGCUC